rnacentral:tRNA from 1 species
GGGGCCGUAGUCUAGCCUGGUUAGGACGCACGGCUUGGACGCCGCCACUGGGUACAUUCAAUAAAUAGCCCAGUGGGGUGGGGUAUGCCCGUGUGAUCCCGGGUUCAAAUCCCGGCGGCCCCA